ACUGACUGACAUAACAAGAAAAAUACUGCUGAUAACAACCACGUUUUUAAAUGGUACCUUGUGUCAUCUACUAGUCUAACUCUCAAGACUAAGUAGAGACCCAGAAAGAGUUCCUAAAAACACACACACAAAAACGUGUUUUGGGGGGAUCCGGGGGCUACUAGUGGCCAUGGGGCCCUAAGCGAUCACAUAAGCCCUGGCACUAUACAAAGAAUAGGUGCCAUUCUGGACACAUGUUCAACUUAGGGCCAGGUCAAUUUGGGAUGGGGAUUAUUGCACUUAAUUCACAAAUUCCAUGCCUUGCUCAACUGAAAAGAGUAAAUAAUCAGUGAGAUCCAAUUGUGUUUUCUAUUCUUCAUUCCCUGUGUCCAUUACAUUUAAGUUGAUACCAGAUCCACUAAGUUGAAUGUGAACUCUACUUCUUCUCCCCUCCCAGCCAUCCCUGGACACACAAGGCUAACAUCCACCAUGACCCGGGCAGAGAGAGAGAGGGAGAAGAGGAAGGAGCUGCUGAAGGCUGAGGAGAGAAGGAAGAAGAUGGAGGAUUUCAAUAAGCAGUGGAGAGAGCGGUCCCUGCUUAAAAAACAGACUCAUCAACAACUGAAGGAGGAGAGGGAGAGGAUGAAGGAAAACUACCUGGAGCAGAUGAAUCUGGAGGCUGAUGCUCAAAUCAACACCCGGUGUCUAACCACCCAACACAGCCACGAUUACAACCACGGUCAGGAGUUGCCCGGGUGGGCCAAUGGCCAACAAGUAAGCCAAGAGCCCACUGGAUCUGCUGAUGGCCACCAGGAAAGGCCAAGGAGGCAACAGGCAUGGGCAGAGAACCAGGAGGGGAGUUCAGAGAACCAGCAGGAGGGGCCAGAGAACCAUCAGGGGGGGCCAGACAGCCAGCAGCUAGAAGCUCCAGAAGAGGCUGAAACAUCAGAGCGAAUAUCCAAGACAAAGAAAAAGCCAAGCAUCUGGAAGAAAAUUAGGAUGAGUCAACAAGUGAUGAGCCAGAUCAACCAAUCAACGUCACUGCAGCUGUUCUACCCACCACCCCCACUGCUCUUCCUCCACCACCAACCUCAUCCUCUUCUCCUGUUCAACUCAUUUGCCGCCACACUAGAAAGGACUGGACAUACAGUCGAAGUCGCAAGUUACAUACACUUAGGUUGGAGUCAUUAAACGUUAUGAACUGAGAGAAAACAGGACCUACCUUUGUUGAUGAUCUUAUAGCCCUCCUCAGCCUCUCUCUGAUAUGUUCUCUCUGUCUUUUUGAGGUUCCUCUUCUCCCACUUCUUAGUCACCCAGGCCACAGCUCUCCUUCAGAUACUUUUAUAGGGUGGAACAAGGUCUAUGGUCUAAAAUAGAUGUGUAUAGUUGACUCCUCUGC
rnacentral:lncRNA from 1 species